AACGUGGACGGGCAGCUGCAGGAUAAAUCUCCUGGUCUUUUUCCCCUCCGGUGCAAGGAGCCGCUCGCUGUGCUGGCCGGGGGGGACGGCAGCGUUCCUGCCCCCCUGAUUUAUUAUCUCUGCUCGGCACACAGGGAAGGGGAUUCUUCACAGGGAGGCAAGUUGGCAGCUCGAAGCCGUCCCCUGGAAGCAGCCGGCGCUUGGUGUGAGCGUUCAUUCGAAGGAGCAGGGAGAGAAAGGAAAAAAGCUGCAGUGGGGAACGAGGAAGAUUAAAAAAAAGCAGACACCUCCGAGGCGCUCGCGAAGCUGGGAGGCAGCAAGGCAGCCGGGAUUUCUGGUCUGAGGCUGGGACGGAGACCCGCGGAGCUGAUGCGAGAGGAGUUUUGCAUAUUCAGAAAACGCGCUUUGCCUGGGAAGGAAGCAGAGGCAACGAAGCCCCGGCUCUCCAGGGAUUUUUGCUCCUACAGAAACGGAGAAAGGCGACGAUUUCUCUGGAAGAAGCUUCACACGGGCAUCCUGGGGACACUCGGUUGGGCAUUGGUGGGGAGAAAAAGAGGAACGUCACCUCUGGGAGGUGACCGACACAUGUCCCCAAGUGCCCUGUAGGCUCAGUAGGAGGCCAGUAAUUCAGGUUGCAGACAAGGCCCCAUUGACUCUCCUCCGAGCGCGGAGCGGUUCAGUUGUUGGCACUGGAAAAGCGGCCGCUGCCCGCCGGCUGGGGGAAAAAUCAAGGACCACGAGUGGCCACCCGGCUGUCCCCACAAGUGAUGGGGUCCUGGGGGCUCAGCCCACGGGGAUUUGGGCUGGAGGAUUUGGGCUGGGGGGCUGUAGCAGCAGCCGCUGCCGCAAGCAGGUUUAAUUCACGCCAGCAGAUGACGGAGGCGUCCCCUGGACCUUUUGUGCCUCGCGGCUCCGAGGAGGAGGAAAUUCAUCUGCGAGCAGCAGGUCUCUGGCUGGAAUCCCCCCUCCGGCCGGGGAACCUGCGCUGGGGACUUUUAAUUUAACGUGGCUCUGCUCAGCCCAAAAACAUUAGCUUAACAUUAUCGCAGGGGUAAGUCAACAAAUAGGGAAAAAUCUACCGAGGUUACGUUUUGCCCACUUUUCCUGCACCUUUGGAGAUGAAACUGGAGCUAGGCUGCUAAGUUCCAGUGAUUUAUUGGUGGGCUGAGGAGCUGGGUUUUAAAUACUGCAUCUUUGGGAUGCUGGCAACCUCGCUUCCUAUAAAUCUUAACUAGUAUUUCUGAGCCCUUUUAUGCCAGCUGCUUUCAUGUAUUCAGAACCUUUUCUGUGCAGUAGCCUAUGAAAAUAUUGAAACGAUGCCCAGAGCAACACCAGGAUAUGAAGGGGAAAACUUUAAGAUGUUUUGUAACUAUUUUUUAACAGAACCUGCCAAAUCUUAAUUUUUCCAGUUUACAAGUAAGAGCCUCUAACCAUCUGUUUGCUGUCAACCGAUGUUUGUUUGGAAAGGAAUUUUAUUAUUUUUUUCCAUCUCGCACUCCUGUUCUUACAACUAGUUUACUGAACUUCAUAAAUGUCAGCUUUCACAGUUGUUUUGUAAGCCAGUUAUGAUUUAGGAUUUAAUCAAAAUUGAGCAGUCAGUGUCUUUAAUCAAUCUGAAUGGAGAUCAAAAACAAAAGAAACGGAGACUGAAAAAUGAAACAUUUAAUGUAUCCCAACAGUCUUUGAAAGAGCCUUAUUUCCAGCAUAAUAGCUACCAGGAAUCAUUAUAACAAACUUUAAAAAAAAAAAAAAAAAAUACCCUC